rnacentral:rRNA from 1 species
GAUGAACGCUAGCGGGAGGCCUAACACAUGCAAGUCGAACAGGAUUGAGAGCUUGCUCUCAUGAGAGUGGCGCACGGGUGAGUAACGCGUAUGCAACCUGCCUUUAACAGAGGGAUAGCCCAUAGAAAUGUGGAUUAAUACCUCAUAGUUCUGAGAGAUCGCAUGAUUUUUCAGAUAAAGCUCCGGCGGUUAAAGAUGGGCAUGCGUGACAUUAGCUAGUUGGUGAGGUAACGGCUCACCAAGGCGACGAUGUCUAGGGGUUCUGAGAAGAUGAUCCCCCACACUGGUACUGAGACACGGACCAGACUCCUACGGGAGGCAGCAGUGAGGAAUAUUGGCCAAUGGGCGCAAGCCUGAACCAGCCAUCCCGCGUGCAGGAUGACGGCCCUAUGGGUUGUAAACUGCUUUUAUACACCAAGAAAAAUCCGAACGUGUUCGGACCCGACGGUAGUGUAUGAAUAAGCAUCGGCUAACUCCGUGCCAGCCGCCGCCGUAACAC